rnacentral:rRNA from 1 species
GACGAACGCUGGCGGCGUGCUUAACACAUGCAAGUCGAACGGAAAGGCCCUGCUUUUGUGGGGUGCUCGAGUGGCGAACGGGUGAGUAACACGUGAGUAACCUGCCCUUGACUUUGGGAUAACUUCAGGAAACUGGGGCUAAUACCUGAUAGGAGCUCCUGCUGCAUGGUGGGGGUUGGAAAGUUUCGGCGGUUGGGGAUGGACUCGCGGCUUAUCAGCUUGUUGGUGGGGUAGUGGCUUACCAAGGCUUUGACGGGUAGCCGGCCUGAGAGGGUGACCGGCCACAUUGGGACUGAGAUACGGCCCAGACUCCUACAGGAGGCAGCAGUGGGGAAUAUUGCACAAUGGGCGGAAGCCUGAUGCAGCAACGCCGCGUGCGGGAUGACGGCCUUCGGGUUGUAAACCGCUUUCGCCUGUGACGAAGCGUGAGUGACGGUAAUGGGUAAAGAAGCGCCGGCUAACUACGUG